rnacentral:rRNA from 1 species
CGUUCCCGGGCCUUGUACACACCGCCCGUCACACCAUGGGAGUUGGUUUUACCUUAAGGCGGCGGGCUAACCCGCAAGGGAGGCAGCCGACCACGGUAAGGUCAGCGACUGGGGUG